rnacentral:misc_RNA from 1 species
GAUGAAGAACGUAGCGAAAUGCGAUAAGUAAUGUGAAUUGCAGAAUUCAGUGAAUCAUCGAAUCUUUGAACGCAUCUUGCGCUCCUUGGUAUUCUGAGGAGCAUGCCUGUUUGAGUGUCAUUAAAUUCUCAACUACACUGACUUUGAAUUGGUGUGGCUUGGAUUUGGGGGGAAAAUUGUUGUGGGCUUUUUGUAUAGUCUGCUCCCCUGAAAUUGAUUAGCGGUACCUUUGUGGAACUGUCUACAGGUGUGAUAAUUAUCUACAUCUUAGACAUCUGCUGGAAUGCUGCUUUCUAAACCUUACUUGUAUUGACAAUCUCGACCUCAAAUCAGGUAGGACUACCCGCUGAACUUAAGCAUAUCAAUAAGCGGAGGA